AGAUAGAGGGCCAAAGAUAUCUUUGCCGACUUCUAUCAAUCUGACUAAAUAAGUGAAAGUACUGCCGCUUCCAUCGUAACUAUGAUCAUGAUAUUGAGGAAUGCCUCUAAUUAAAAGAUGAGAUCGAGGUUCUCAUCUGAUGAGGCUGUCUCAGCAAAUACAUCCAAGAGUAGUAGAACCAAACAUCCGAGGAGCAACCCUGACACCAGUCUGAUGAGGAGAACAAUAAUAACCAACCAACGACUGGUCUGAUUAACAUGAUCUCGAGUCUUGGAGGCAGCAGGGGGCA
rnacentral:lncRNA from 1 species